CAAUAGCGUAUAUUUAAGUUGUUGCAGUUAAAAAGCUCGUAGUUGGAUUUCGGUUAAGAGCGACCGGUCCGCCGUUUGGUGUGCACUGGUUGGUUUUAACUUCCUGUAGAGGACGUGCUCUGGGUUUAACGACCUGGACUCGGAGUCUACGUGGUUACUUUGAAAAAAUUAGAGUGUUCAAAGCGGGCUUACGCUUGAAUAUUUCAGCAUGGAAUAACACUAUAGGACUCCUGUCCUAUUUCGUUGGUCUCGGGACGGGAGUAAUGAUUAAGAGGAACAGUUGGGGGCAUUUGUAUUUCAUUGUCAGAGGUGAAAUUCUUGGAUUUAUGAAAGACGAACUUCUGCGAAAGCAUUUGCCAAGGAUGUUUUCAUUAA
rnacentral:rRNA from 1 species